rnacentral:rRNA from 1 species
UACGGGGGGAGCAAGCGUUGUUCGGAUUUACUGGGCGUAAAGGGCGCGUAGGCGGCGCCGCAAGUCGGUUGUGAAAUCUCCGGGCUUAACCCGGAAAGGUCAACCGAUACUGCGGGGCUAGAGUGCAGAAGGGGCAACUGGAAUUCUCGGUGUAGCGGUGAAAUGCGUAGAUAUCGAGAGGAACACCUGCGGCGAAGGCGGGUUGCUGGGCUGACACUGACGCUGAAGCGCGAAAGCUAGGGGAGCGAAUGGG